rnacentral:lncRNA from 1 species
GGGAAAUGUCCACACACUCUGCAUUGAAUUCAUGCACGCCCAGGCCCCCUUUCUACAGACAUUAAAUAUCCAGGUUCCCUUGAAGUAGCAGUAAAUAAAGCAUGGAUUUAACUAUCACCGUACAUUCAUGCAAAGUACCAUCAUGCACCACAUAGCAAUCAGGUCUUUAAAAGAGCUCAGUGUACCUAAGACAGCGCGAAAGUUCAGACACCCCUUCUUGAGAAAGACCGAGCCUUCUCUUCGCUCUAAGCUUCCAGGUCCCGAACCUCAGCCUGUUGCUGACAUAUCACGGCUGCCCAGGAUAAAAGCAAAACAUCUUGGACUGGAUUCAAAUGUCAACACCAAGCAAGUGCAGGAAUUCAGUGGAUUCCAGGUAACUUCUCUGCCCAGUCCCUUCCGCGCCUCAUCCCCAGUGUAAACACCUCGCAAAGGGAGUCCUUCGAAGCCUCCUCGGGGCCGCAUUGGCCCGCGGUGUCACUCAGAGACCCUUCCCAGAGCUCGCAGGGUGGGAGCGGCGUCGGGCGGGCCCAGAAGCGCGGGCCCCCAGCCCCGGGUAGGCACACCACCGGCUCGCCCGGCUGGAGAACUUUGUGAAGAGCCCCAAAGUGCACCCAGCUUCCACCCUCAGCCAUUUCUCUCCUUCUCCUCUCACAAAGAGCGGGGGACCGAGCGAGCCGUCGCCACCUGCCGCCAGAUCCCGGGGCGCUGCCUCUGGCACCCCCGAGGGAAGGCAGGCCAAUGGAACGAGGGCAGAGGUUCGCACUCCCACCCCCGAACCUCACAGCGCCUCGCUGCCCGGAGGAGGCUCCGCAGCCCGCGGGAACCGACGCCCCCGGGCCGGCUGCCUGCUCCCCUAAGGCGCCGGCCCCACCCCCAAUCCUUCCGGCGCCCCAGCGCCCACCCACCCGGGCGCGGGAGUGGGAGGGUGCCGCGUGGGCAGCCGGAGCAACAGGCGUGGGAGCAGCGCUCCUCGCACUUCCUGGCUCCAGAAGGCUCGGUCGCGUCCCUCUUACCUUCGGCUAAGCGAGCCCCGGGCGCCGCACCCCGCGCCCCGCGCGCGCGAGGAAGCUGCGGCCGGGAGCCGGGGGCCGCGGAGGCGCCGAGCACCCAGCAGCGCGAGGAAGCGCCCAGCAGUCGCCGCUCGCGCCGCUCCUCCUCGCCGGCGAAGUCUCGCUCGCUCCCUCCCUCGCUCGCUGCGUGA